UAGCGCGGUGGUCCCACCUGACCCCAUGCCGAACUCAGAAGUGAAACGCCGUAGCGCCGAUGGUAGUGUGGGGUCUCCCCAUGUGAGAGUAGGGCAUUGCCAGGCA
rnacentral:rRNA from 1 species